AAACUUGAGAGUUUGAUCCUGGCUCAGAACGAACGCUGGCGGCAGGCCUAACACAUGCAAGUCGAACGAAGCCCCUCUUCGGAGGUCAGCUUAGUGGCGCACGGGUGAGUAACACGUGGGAACGUACCCUUAGGUGCAGGACAACAGUUGGAAACGACUGCUAAUACUGCAUAAUAACUCCGGUUCAAAGAAUUUCGCCUAAGGAUCGGCCCGCGUCUGAUUAGCUAGUUGGUGGGGUAAUGGCCUACCAAGGCGACGAUCAGUAGCUGUUCUGAGAGGAUGAUCAGCCACACUGGUACUGAGACACGGACCAGACUCCUACGGGAGGCAGCAGUGAGGAAUAUUGGACAAUGGGGGCAACCCUGAUCCAGCCAUGCCGCGUGAGUGAAGAAGGCCUUAGGGUUGUAAAGCUCUUUCAGAUGUGAAGAUGAUGACGGUAACAUCAGAAGAAGCUCCGGCUAACUUCGUGCCAGCAGCCGCGGUAAUACGAAGGGAGCGAGCGUUGUUCGGAAUCACUGGGCGUAAAGCGUGCGUAGGCGGAUAAGAAAGUCAGAAGUGAAAUCCCGGGGCUCAACCCCGGAACUGCUUUUGAAACUCCUUGUCUAGAGUAUGGUAGAGGAUAACGGAAUUCCGAGUGUAGAGGUGAAAUUCGCAGAUAUUCGGAGGAACACCAGUUGCGAAGGCGGUUAUCUGGGCCAUUACUGACGCUGAGGUACGAAAGCGUGGGGAGCAAACAGGAUUAGAUACCCUGGUAGUCCACGCCGUAAACGAUGUAUGCUAGUUGUCGGGGGUUCUGCCUUCGGUGACGGAGUUAACGCAUUAAGCAUACCGCCUGGGGAGUACGGUCGCAAGAUUAAAACUCAAAGGAAUUGACGGGGACCCGCACAAGCGGUGGAGCAUGUUGUUUAAUUCGACGCAACGCGAAGAACCUUACCUGGGUUUGACAUCCCCGGACGACACCAGAGAUGGUGUUUUCUCUUCGGAGACCGGGUGACAGGUGCUGCAUGGCUGUCGUCAGCUCGUGUCGUGAGAUGUUGGGUUAAGUCCCGCAACGAGCGCAACCCUUGCCCUUAGUUGCCAGCAGUUCGGCUGGGCACUCUAGGGGGACUGCCGGUGACAAGCCGGAGGAAGGUGGGGAUGACGUCAAGUCCUCAUGGCCUUUAUAUCCAGGGCUACACACGUGUUACAAUGGGGGUUACAAAGGGCAGCGAAACGGCAACGUGGAGCGAAUCCCAAAAAAACCCUCUCAGUUCGGAUCGCAGUCUGCAACUCGACUGCGUGAAGCUGGAAUCGCUAGUAAUCGCGGAUCAGCACGCCGCGGUGAAUACGUUCCCGGGCCUUGUACACACCGCCCGUCACACCAUGGGAGUUGACAGGGGCAGAAGCCGCCGAGCCAACCUUCGGGAGGCAGGCGUCCAAGCUCCGGUUGAUGACUGGGGUGAAGUCGUAACAAGGUAGCCGUAGGAGAACCUGCGGCUGGAUCACCUCCUUU
rnacentral:rRNA from 1 species